GACGAACGCUGGCGGCGUGCCUAACACAUGCAAGUCGAACGGAAAUACACGCUGAAAUUGAGACAGCUUGCUGAGGAUAUUUCUUGUGUAUUUUAGUGGCGGACGGGUGAGUAACGCGUGAGUAACCUGCCUUUCAGAGGGGGAUAACGUUCUGAAAAGAACGCUAAUACCGCAUGAUACUUUGAGAUCGCAUGAUUUUGAAGUCAAAGGAGCAAUCCGCUGAAAGAUGGACUCGCGUCCGAUUAGAUAGUUGGUGAGGUAACGGCCCACCAAGUCGACGAUCGGUAGCCGGACUGAGAGGUUGAUCGGCCACAUUGGGACUGAGACACGGCCCAGACUCCUACGGGAGGCAGCAGUGAGGAAUAUUGGGCAAUGGGGGAAACCCUGACCCAGCAACGCCGCGUGAGGGAAGACGGUUUUCGGAUUGUAAACCUCUGUCCUCUGUGAAGAUAAUGACGGUAGCAGAGGAGGAAGCCACGGCUAACUACGUGCCAGCCGCCGCCGUAACAC
rnacentral:rRNA from 1 species